UACGUAGGGGGGCUAGCGUUGUCCGGAAUCAUUGGGCGUAAAGAGCGUGUAGGCGGCCCGGUAAGUCCGCUGUAAAAGUCAAAGGCUCAACCUUUUGAAUGUCAGUGGAUACUGCCGGGCUAGAGUCCGGAAGAGGCGAGUGGAAUUCCCUGGUGUAGCGGUGAAAUGCGCAGAUAUCAGGAGGAACACCUAUUGCGAAGGCAGCUCGCUGGGACGUAACUGACGCUGAGACGCGAAAGCGUGGGGAGCAAACAGG
rnacentral:rRNA from 1 species